UACGAAGGGGGCUAGCGUUGCUCGGAAUCACUGGGCGUAAAGGGCGCGUAGGCGGCGUUUUUAAGUCGGGGGGUGAAAGCCUGUGGCUCAACCACAGAAUUGCCUUCGAUACUGGGACGCUUGAGUGUGGUAGAGGUUGGUGGAACUGCGAGUGUAGAGGUGAAAUUCGUAGAUAUUCGCAAGAACACCGGUGGCGAAGGCGGCCAACUGGACCAUCACUGACGCUGAGGCGCGAAAGCGUGGGGAGCAAAACAGG
rnacentral:rRNA from 1 species